AAAAAAGCAGGGCUCUGUUACAUUUUGUGAAUUGGAUCCUCAUUAUAUUCAGGGAAACUAAAUGCGUUGUUGUUGGGUAAACCUCUGUAAAGCUAGUUGCAAAAGGUUCAGUAAAUAAUCCUACAUGA